rnacentral:tRNA from 1 species
UAGCUCAGUUGGUUAGAGCACCACCUUGACAUGGUGGGGGUCGAUGGUUCGAGUCCAUU